CCUACGGGGGGCAGCAGUGAGGAAUAUUGGUCAAUGGGCGCGAGCCUGAACCAGCCAAGUAGCGUGAAGGAUGACUGCCCUACGGGUUGUAAACUUCUUUUAUAAAGGAAUAAAGUGAGGCACGUGUGCCUUUUUGCAUGUACUUUAUGAAUAAGGCUCGGCUAACUCCGUGCCAGCAGCCGCGGUAAUACGGAGGAUCCGAGCGUUAUCCGGAUUUAUUGGGUUUAAAGGGAGCGUAGGUGGGUUGUUAAGUCAGUUGUGAAAGUUUGCGGCUCAACUGUAAAAUUGCAAUUGAUCCUGGCAGGCUUGAGUACAGUUGAGGGAGGCGGAAUUCGUGGUGUAGCGGUGAAAUGCUUAGAUAUCACGAAGAACACCGAUUGCGAAGGCAGCUUACUAAACGGCCACUGACGUUGAGGCGCGAAAGUGUGGGUAUCAAACAGGAUUAGAUACCCGAGUAGUC
rnacentral:rRNA from 1 species